rnacentral:rRNA from 1 species
UACGUAGGUGACAGCGUUGUCCGGAUUUACUGGGCGUAAAGAGCGCGCAGGCGGUCGUUCAAGUCGGAGUGUGAAAGCCCCCCGGCUCAACUGGGGAGGGUCAUUCGAUACUGAUCGACUCGAAGGCAGGAGAGGGAAGUGGAAUUCCCGGUGUAGUGGUGAAAUGCGUAGAUAUCGGGAGGACACCAGUGGCGAAGGCGACACCUGGACCGGCAUUGACGCUGAGGAGCGAAAGCCAGGGGAGCAAAGC